AUGAACGCUGGCGGCGUGCUUAACACAUGCAAGUCGAACGAAGCUCCUGACGCUGAUCCUCGGGUGAAGCAGAUGGAUGACUGAGUGGCGGACGGGUGAGUAACGCGUGGGUAACCUGCCCUAUACAGGGGGAUAACAGUUAGAAAUGGCUGCUAAUACCGCAUAAGCGCACGGUAUCGCAUGAUACAGUGUGAAAAACUCCGGUGGUAUAGGAUGGACCCGCGUCUGAUUAGCUAGUUGGUGAGGUAACGGCUCACCAAGGCGACGAUCAGUAGCCGACCUGAGAGGGUGACCGGCCACAUUGGGACUGAGACACGGCCCAAACUCCUACGGGAGGCAGCAGUGGGGAAUAUUGCACAAUGGGCGAAAGCCUGAUGCAGCCGACGCCGCGUGGGUGAUGAAGUAUUUCGGUAUGUAAAGCCCUAUCAGAUGGGAAGAUAAUGACGGUACCAUACUAAGAAGCUCCGGCUAAAUACGUGCCAGCAGCUGC
rnacentral:rRNA from 1 species